rnacentral:rRNA from 1 species
AGAGUUUGAUCCUGGCUCAGGAUGAACGCUGGCGGCGUGCCUAACACAUGCAAGUCGAACGGACUUAACCUGAAACCUAGUGAUUGUUAAGUUAGUGGCGGACGGGUGAGUAACGCGUGGAUAACCUGCCGUAUGCAGGGGGAUAACAGUUGGAAACAGCUGCUAAUACCGCAUAAGCGUACAGUACCGCAUGGUGCAGCGCGAAAAGAUUUAUCGGCAUACGAUGGAUCCGCGUCCGAUUAGCCAGUUGGCGGGGUAACGGCCCACCAAAGCGACGAUCGGUAGCCGGCCUGAGAGGGCGGACGGCCACAUUGGGACUGAGACACGGCCCAAACUCCUACGGGAGGCAGCAGUGGGGAAUAUUGCACAAUGGGGGAAACCCUGAUGCAGCGACGCCGCGUGGGUGAAGAAGUACUUCGGUACGUAAAGCCCUAUCAGCAGGGAAGAAAAUGACGGUACCUGAUUAAGAAGCCCCGGCUAACUACGUGCCAGCAGCCGCGGUAAUACGUAGGGGGCAAGCGUUAUCCGGAUUCACUGGGAGUAAAGGGAGCGUAGACGGCGACGCAAGUCUGGAGUGAAAGCCCCGGGGCCCAACCCCGGGACUGCUCUGGAAACUGCGUCGCUGGAGUACGGGAGGGGCAGGCGGAAUUCCUGGUGUAGCGGUGAAAUGCGUAGAUAUCAGGAGGAACACCGGCGGCGAAGGCGGCCUGCUGGACCGUGACUGACGUUGAGGCUCGAGAGCGUGGGGAGCAAACAGGAUUAGAUACCCUGGUAGUCCACGCUGUAAACGAUGGAUACUAGGUGUGCGGGGACUGACCCCCUGCGUGCCGCAGUUAACACAAUAAGUAUCCCACCUGGGGAGUACGAUCGCAAGGUUGAAACUCAAAGGAAUUGACGGGGGCCCGCACAAGCGGUGGAUUAUGUGGUUUAAUUCGAAGCAACGCGAAGAACCUUACCAGGGCUUGACAUGGAGAGGACCGCUCUAGAGAUAGGGCUUUCCCUUCGGGGACUUCUCACACAGGUGGUGCAUGGUUGUCGUCAGCUCGUGUCGUGAGAUGUUGGGUUAAGUCCCGCAACGAGCGCAACCCCUAUUGUUAGUUGCUACGCAAGAGCACUCUAGCGAGACUGCCGUUGACAAAACGGAGGAAGGUGGGGACGACAUCAAAUCAUCAUGCCCCUUAUGGCCUGGGCGACACACGUGCUACAAUGGCGCCGACAGAGGGAUGCGAAGCGGCGACGCGGAGCGAACCCCAAAAACGGCGCCCCAGUUCGGAUUGUAGUCUGCAACCCGACUACAUGAAGCCGGAAUCGCUAGUAAUCGCGGAUCAGAACGCCGCGGUGAAUACGUUCCCGGGUCUUGCACACACCGCCCGUCA